UGGGGGCCCUAAUGGAGGUUAUGCAAAAGAGGAGCAAAGCUAUCCAUUCCUCUGAUGACGAUGAGGAUGAAGACGAAGAUGAUGACUUUGAGGAUGAUGAAGAGUGGGAUGACUAGUGAAGAUGCCCCCCACCCACCUCUCCCAGCCUACCACUAACACUAAAACUCUUCCAGAACCCCACUACAUCAUGUAAUGUAAAUGUUGUUUGAGUUUCCAGUAUAUUUAUUUUUGCUUUUAAAAAAUGAUAAUUCCAGUUAAUCUGUGCAAUACCUCAUCAAUGAAGCUGUUCUGUUCAUCACACACCGUAGAGGUAAAAGCUUCUCUCCUCCUCCUGCGUCAGUAGAAAGCACUUAAUGCACCGUUAGCUCAGAGCACAGCCUGGACCUGAGCUCCAGAAGGAAACGCUGCAGGGAAGACUUGGAGGUGGGCGGAGCUUCCUGGGAAGUCAUUCUGUUACAUUUCAUUGCCUGUUUCAGAAACUUUAAAUGGACAAUAUUCCAAGCAAUUGGCAGGAAAAUGUUUGAGUGUAUUGCUCUGAAAUGCAUAAUUAACACUUCCUAUCAUAUUUGUCCUCUAUUUAUUUUCUGUCUUUUCAUCUCCUAUUGAAGACAUGACCAUGACCAAACCUUGUGUAGAUCUUUAACUUAGAUUUUUCACAUGAUUAAAAGGUUUUGUUGUUUUUGUCUCGUUUUGCACAGUUUCUAAAAUAGUUUGUUUGGUUUCUUGUUUUGUGUGUUUGUAAUAGUAGCAUACAUACAGUAGGAUAGACAGUAGGAUACUCUGACAUUAAUGUAACAAGACAAUGUUUGAGUUACAGACACACAUGCAUGUAUAGCUGAUAUAGCAGGACUUUCUUUCUUUUGCAACAUUCCAUUAUCCUGUCAGGAAGUUACACCAUCAUCAUACUGUUUUCAUUUCAUUUAAAGGGAACAAGUAAAAAUAUUUGUUAUUUACUCUUUUUUUUUUUUAAGAAACUGAUUUUUAUGCAAUGCAACUGUAAAUGCCCUCCUUUUGCAAAUACUAGACAAAGCAAAUAAUGAUGAACCAAAUGUGGCAUUUUCAAGCAGCUUGUGGCUUUGGCGAUGCCUGUGAUGGUUUGUCAGAGAAACAGUGUGAAGAAGUAACCGACACUUGUUUCUCUGUCUGUCCUUUAAGUUCUUAUUGUCCUCCAGGGACCUAAUGCUGCAUCAAGAAGCCAAGUUACUGACAUAAAGCCUG